CCGCGCUAAGCGGGGAGCUGGCGAUGCCCUGUACCUGCGAUCGCCUCAGCAGGGCCUAGAUCCCCGCCCGAGGCGGUCCGGGUUCGGUAGAAGCCGGUGUCGCCGGCGUUGAUGGUUGGGUCCCGGGCAAUGAGGCCCCGUGAACCGUGUCAGGACCGGGAGGUAGCAGCACUAAGCGGGUAACCUCAUGUGCACCGGGGCGGCCCGGCCGGAGCCGGCAGCCGGAAGUUCGCCGGGUCCGGGUUCGUCGACGGCGGGGUGCGCGG
rnacentral:SRP_RNA from 1 species